AUGGCGCACAGCAAGGACGACGGCCCAAGCCCGUGCCCGUCGGCCAUGUGCACCUUCUCCUUCAACACCAAGGGCCAGCGGUGGAGGUCACAUGGGGAUUGGCCCUUGCCCUUCAGGGGCCAAGGCUACUUCGACAGCCAGCUCGAUGCAUGGGUUGGCCUCCAGAAGGAUGGCACCAUUUGCUCCUGCCAAGUUGCCUCCCGCACCAGCACAACCCAGUCGCAGCCGGACUGGAAGACGGUCAAGGAAAGGUUUUUCUCCAAGCCCCCUGACAGCAAGCGCCAACUGGGGGCGUCAAUGGACGCCACUCUCGCACAUUUGGGCAACGCCCAGUUUUGCCUUGUGGAGUGUGUGCUACGCGACGGAGUUGAGUACAAGGAUGCUUUUGGUGACCGUGAUGGCUGCAUGCUCCGAAUCACCACGUUUGGCCUCAAGUACAGCCAUAAGGGGGAGCUGCAGACCAUGAACCGCAUCACUAACUCGUACAUAGUGUCCAAGCAUGUCCCGUUGUUUUCUCCCAUAGCCUUCUGGAUGUAG
rnacentral:rRNA from 1 species